AGUGAACGCUGGCGGUAGGCCUAACACAUGCAAGUCGAACGGCAGCACAGGAGAGCUUGCUCUCUGGGUGGCGAGUGGCGGACGGGUGAGGAAUACAUCGGAAUCUACUUUUUCGUGGGGGAUAACGUAGGGAAACUUACGCUAAUACCGCAUACGACCUACGGGUGAAAGCAGGGGAUCUUCGGACCUUGCGCGAUUGAAUGGGCCGAUGUCGGAUUAGCUAGUUGGCGGGGUAAAGGCCCACCAAGGCGACGAUCCGUAGCUGGUCUGAGAGGAUGAUCAGCCACACUGGAACUGAGACACGGUCCAGACUCCUACGGGAGGCAGCAGUGGGGAAUAUUGGACAAUGGGCGCAAGCCUGAUCCAGCCAUACCGCGUGGGUGAAGAAGGCCUUCGGGUUGUAAAGCCCUUUUGUUGGGAAAGAAAUCCAGCUGGUUAAUACCCGGUUGGGAUGACGGUACCCAAAGAAUAGGCACCGGCUAACUUCGUGCCAGCCGCCGCGGUAA
rnacentral:rRNA from 1 species